rnacentral:tRNA from 1 species
UCAAAGAAAGAAGACUUAAACUUCUAUCACUAGCCCCCAAAGCUAGUAUUUUUACUUAAACUAUUCUUCG